CUGGUUAUUCCCAAAAGUGGGGGGAAACCUGGGGAACUCAGGCUAAUACCGCAUACGUCCUACGGGAGAAAGGCCGGCAGUUUACUGCUCUCGCUAUUAGAUGAGCCUAAGUCGGAUUAACUAGAUGGUGGGGUAAAGGCCUACCAUGGCGACGAUCUGUAGCUGGUCUGAGAGGAUGAUCAGCCACACCGGGACUGAGACACGGCCCGGACUCCUACGGGAGGCAGCAGUGGGGAAUAUUGGACAAUGGGGGCAACCCUGAUCCAGCCAUGCCGCGUGUGUGAAGAAGGCCUUUUGGUUGUAAAGCACUUUAAGCAGUGAAGAAGACUCCAUGGUUAAUACCCAUGGACGAUGACAUUAGCUGCAGAAUAAGCACCGGCUAACUCUGUGCCAGCAGCCGCGGUAAUACAGAGGGUGCAAGCGUUAAUCGGAAUUACUGGGCGUAAAGCGAGCGUAGGUGGCUUGAUAAGUCAGAUGUGAAAUCCCCGGGCUUAACCUGUGAACUGCAUCUGAUACUGUUAGGCUAGAAUAGGUGAGAGGAGGGUAGAAAUUCCAGGUGUAGCGGUGAAAUGCGUAGAGAUCUUGGAGGAAUACCGAUGGCGAAAGGCAGCCUUCUGGCAUCAUAUUGACACUGAGGUUCGAAAGCGUGGGUAGCAAACAGGAUUAGAUACCCUGGUUAGUCCCACGCCGUUAAACGAUGUUCUACUAGUUCGUUGGGGUCCCUUUGAGGACUUUAGUGAACGCAGCUAACGCAA
rnacentral:rRNA from 1 species